CAAAGUAUAGCUUUAUUAGAAAGUAUCUCAUUUACACUGGGAAGUUUGGC
rnacentral:tRNA from 1 species